CCUACGGGUGGCUGCAGUGGGGAAUAUUGGACAAUGGGGGCAACCCUGAUCCAGCCAUGCCGCGUGAGUGAUGAAGGCCUUCGGGUUGUAAAGCUCUUUUGGCGGGGACGAUGAUGACGGUACCCGCAGAAUAAGCCCCGGCUAACUUCGUGCCAGCAGCCGCGGUAAGACGAAGGGGGCUAGCGUUGUUCGGAAUUACUGGGCGUAAAGCGCGUGUAGGCGGUUUGCCAAGUUGGGUGUGAAAGCCUUGAGCUCAACUCAAGAAAUGCACUCAGUACUGGCAGACUAGAGGACCGGAGAGGAUAGUGGAAUUCCCAGUGUAGUGGUGAAAUACGUAGAGAUUGGGAAGAACACCAGUGGCGAAGGCGGCUAUCUGGACGGUUUCUGACGCUAAGACGCGAAAGCGUGGGGAGCAAACAGGAUUAGAUACCCCGGUAGUC
rnacentral:rRNA from 1 species